ensembl:rRNA 5S_rRNA 5S ribosomal RNA
GCCUACGACCAUAUCACCCUGAAUGCGCCCGAUCUCGUCUGAUCUCGGAAGCUAAGCAUGGUCGAGCCUGGUUAGUACUUGCAUGGGAGACUGCCUGGGAAUACCAGGUGUUGUAGGCU